rnacentral:rRNA from 1 species
UACGUAGGGUGCGAGCGUUAAUCGGAGUUACUGGGCGUAAAGCGUGCGCAGGCGGUUCUAUAAGACAGAUGUGAAAUCCCCGGGCUCAACCUGGGAACUGCAUUUGUGACUGUAGAGCUGGAGUACGGCAGAGGGGGAUGGAAUUCCGCGUGUAGCAGUGAAAUGCGUAGAUAUGCGGAGGAACACCGAUGGCGAAGGCAAUCCCCUGGGCCUGUACUGACGCUCAUGCACGAAAGCGUGGGGAGCAAACAGG